rnacentral:rRNA from 1 species
GGGUGAGUAACGCGUAGGCAACCUGCCCCACAGCCGGGGACAACUUCCCGAAAGGGAAGCUAAUACCGGAUACGAACCGGGCAUCGCAUGAUGCCGGGUUGAAAGAUGGCCUCUAUUUAUACGCUAUCGCUGUGGGAUGGGCCUGCGUCCGAUUAGCUGGUUGGUGAGGUAACGGCUCACCAAGGCGACGAUCGGUAGCCGGUCUGAGAGGAUGAACGGCCACAUUGGGACUGAGACACGGCCCAGACUCC